GUAGGUGGGGUAACGGCUCACCUAGGCGACGAUCCCUAGCUGGUCUGAGAGGAUGACCAGCCACACUGGAACUGAGACACGGUCCAGACUCCUACGGGAGGCAGCAGUGGGGAAUAUUGCACAAUGGGCGCAAGCCUGAUGCAGCCAUGCCGCGUGUGUGAAGAAGGCCUUCGGGUUGUAAAGCACUUUCAGCGGGGAGGAAGGCGGUGAGGUUAAUAACCUCACCGAUUGACGUUACCCGCAGAAGAAGCACCGGCUAACUCCGUGCCAGCAGCCGCGGUAAUACGGAGGGUGCAAGCGUUAAUCGGAAUUACUGGGCGUAAAGCGCACGCAGGCGGUCUGUCAAGUCGGAUGUGAAAUCCCCGGGCUCAACCUGGGAACUGCAUUCGAAACUGGCAGGCUAGAGUCUUGUAGAGGGGGGUAGAAUUCCAGGUGUAGCGGUGAAAUGCGUAGAGAUCUGGAGGAAUACCGGUGGCGAAGGCGGCCCCCUGGACAAAGACUGACGCUCAGGUGCGAAAGCGUGGGGAGCAAACAGGAUUAGAUACCCUGGUAGUCCACGCUGUAAACGAUGUCGAUUUGGAGGUUGUGCCCUUGAGGCGUGGCUUCCGGAGCUAACGCGUUAAAUCGACCGCCUGGGGAGUACGGCCGCAAGGUUAAAACUCAAAUGAAUUGACGGGGGCCCGCACAAGCGGUGGAGCAUGUGGUUUAAUUCGAUGCAACGCGAAGAACCUUACCUGGUCUUGACAUCCACAGAACUUUCCAGAGAUGGAUUGGUGCCUUCGGGAACUGUGAGACAGGUGCUGCAUGGCUGUCGUCAGCUCGUGUUGUGAAAUGUUGGGUUAAGUCCCGCAACGAGCGCAACCCUUAUCCUUUGUUGCCAGCGGUUAGGCCGGGAACUCAAAGGAGACUGCCAGUGAUAAACUGGAGGAAGGUGGGGAUGACGUCAAGUCAUCAUGGCCCUUACGACCAGGGCUACACACGUGCUACAAUGGCAUAUACAAAGAGAAGCGACCUCGCGAGAGCAAGCGGACCUCAUAAAGUAUGUCGUAGUCCGGAUUGGAGUCUGCAACUCGACUCCAUGAAGUCGGAAUCGCUAGUAAUCGUAGAUCAGAAUGCUACGGUGAAUACGUUCCCGGGCCUUGUACACACCGCCCGUCACACCAUGGGAGUGGGUUGCAAAAGAAGUAGGUAGCUUAACCUUCGGGAGGGCGCUUACCACUUUGUGAUUCAUGACUGGGGUGAAGUCGUAACAAGGUAACCGUAGGGGAACCUGCGGUUGGAUCACCUCCUUACCUUAAAGAA
rnacentral:rRNA from 1 species